rnacentral:rRNA from 1 species
AUCCUGGCUUAGGACGAACGCUGGCGGCGUGCCUAAUACAUGCAAGUCGAACGGUCUUUCUAUGGAAGCUUGCUUCCGCUGAGAAGAUAGUGGCGAACGGGUGAGUAACACGUGGGUAACCUGCCCAUAAGAGGGGGGAUAACAUCCGGAAACGGGUGCUAAUACCGCAUAGUUUUCUUGAUCGCAUGAUCGGGAAAGGAAAGACGGCCUUUGUGCUGUCGCUUAUGGAUGGACCCGCGGCGUAUUAGUUAGUUGGUGAGGUAACGGCUCACCAAGACGAUGAUACGUAGCCGACCUGAGAGGGUGAUCGGCCACAUUGGGACUGAGACACGGCCCAAACUCCUACGGGAGGCAGCAGUAGGGAAUCUUCCGCAAUGGACGAAAGUCUGACGGAGCAACGCCGCGUGAGUGAAGAAAGGUUUUCGGAUCGUAAAACUCUGUUGUCAGAGAAGAACAAGUUGGAGAGUAACUGCUCCAGCCUUGACGGUAUCUGACCAGAAAGCCACGGCUAACUACGUGCCAGCCGCCGC